GAGAGGAAGCAGAGAUGACCUCACAGCUCACUGGUUUUUUUGGUUUUUGUUUUUCUUUUUUAAAAGAGUGUAGCUAUAAUCUCUCAGGCUUCACAACUCCUAUACAUUUGUGGAAUUGGGAUUUAGGCCUCAGUCCACAUCACAAUUUCCAAGACAAGCUGGAUGGGUUGAGAAGCAAGAAGCAGUUCCUGGUUUUGAUCCAGGGCCCCCCUACUGGUCACCUGUCAGCUGGGAUGGACACUAAUUCCCACCUGAGUUGGCAGGGUGUAGGUUUGUCACCUGUGCAGUCCUGUUCUGUCUUUCCUGCAAAGCUAGCAAAGAACUGACCACAAGGAGCAGAGCCACAGCCUGUCUGGAGUCAUUGAACACUGCACAGUGUUGGCUUUGUUUUGUUUUUGUAUAAUGAAGCCUUGAUGAGGCUUAAGAUCCCGCGUCAAUCAGCUGGGUAUACAGACCCAGGUAAUACUGCCUUGUUGAGAAAGGACAAGCCUGAGAACCUCCCCAGGUGGUUGAUCGCUUCCAGUCAAGUCUGUGGAUGAUGCUGAAUGCUGUCCAGUUACACAGCCGGUCUGUUAUCAAAAUAGGAUCCUUAACCUACUUAGUUAAGAAGUGGCCUUUUGAGUCACAGUUUUCUUAGGUCCUGGGAUACAAUAGAAGGAUUUCUAUUUAAGCCUCAUCCAACUUUCCACCUGUGUCAUAUCUACAUGAGUUUAUGCCCCCAUGUCAUGUCUACAUGAGUUUACACCCCCAUGUCAUGUCUACAUGAAUUUAUACCUUCACGUAAGCAAGCAUCCAUCCUCAUAGGUCUCCCCGGAGUGUCCUGAGAUUCAGGACCAGGAAUUACAGCAACCACGCUGUGCUGUGCAAUACUUUUUUGUGUAUUAUUGAUGGUACUUUGUGGAAGUAAAUUGUACCACCCCCACAGUUCCUCAAGCCAUCACUGCCAGUCUAUUAGCAUUUUGUGGCCGGAGGGGACAGCUGGCUGGCUGUUUGAGCCCUGUGAAAGAUCCCACCGGCAAAGCAGCAUGCCAAAAGUGC
rnacentral:lncRNA from 1 species